ACCUUUAUAUCCAGGGCUACACACACGCUACAAUGGUCUGUACAAUGGGUAGCCAAGCCGCGAGGCGGAGCCAAUCCUGAAAGCAGGCCUCAGUUCAGAUUGUAGGCUGAAACUGCCUGCAUGAAGUUGGAGUUGCUAGUAGCCGCAGGUCAGCACACUGCGGUGAAUACGUUCUCGGGCCUU
rnacentral:rRNA from 1 species